rnacentral:ncRNA from 1 species
UUGGUCUCAAACCUAUUAUUACCUACACCCUUUAAUUAUACAUGCAAGCCUCACCACAACAGUGAAAUAACCCACCACAACCUCACAGGAGUUGGCAUCAGGCACCGCCAAUAACGCCAAGCAACACAAGCCACGCCCCCACGGGCCAGCAGCAGUAUCUAAUAUUAGGCCAUAAGCACCAAAGCUUGACCUAGCAAGAGGGUUAAUCAGGGCCGGUUAAUCUCGUGCCAGCGACCGCGGUUACACGACAGACCCAAGAUAAUAAUGCCCGGCGUAAAGCACGACUAGAUCUCAGUACAUCAUUUAUGGGGUAAAACCAAGCUAGGCUGUAAAAAGCCAUAAGCCCCACGAACCACACCCCCAUACACUCAAACCACUUCAACUCGUGAAAAUAGGAAUACAAACUAAGAUUAGAUACCUUACUAUGCCUAACCUAACACACAAUAAAACACCAAUUGUUCGCCAAACAACUACGAGUAAAAACUUAAAACUUAAAAGACUUGACGGUACUUCACACCACCCUAGAGGAGCCUGUCUAAUAACCGAUACUCCACGAUUAACCCAACCCCCUCUAGCCAACCAGUCUAUAUACCGCCAUCGCCAGCCUACCUUGUAAAAGAAACAAAGUAAGCGCAACAGCCACCACUAACACGAUAGGUCGAGGUGUAACAAAUGAAGGGGUAAAAGAUGGGCUACAUUUUCUAACACAGAAAACACGAACAAACUAUGAAAGUAGAAACAGAAGGCGGAUUUAGCAGUAGCGUUAAGGACAAAAUGCUUAACCGAAACAAACGCAAUGAAGUGCGU